GAGACCGAAGUGAAAAUGAGGAGCGGGAAAGCCUCCUGUGCCCUGGAGACUGUCUGGGAGGACAAGCAGAAGUAUGGGGAGGCCGAGCGGCGUUUCUACGAGCAGGAGGCCACACGAGCCGCCACCACCCAGCAGCUCCCGGCUGAGGGGCCAGCCGUGAAUGGGCCAGGGCCGGAGGAGGCCAAGGACGCUGAGGAGGCCGAUGCCCCUGACGGCAGCAGCACGAGGGACCCCAGGAAGAGCCACGACGGAAAGAAGCCUCUGCAGAAGAAGAGGAAGCGCUCCCCAAAGAGCUGGUUCGGCCAGGCAGACCUGGCCCUCGUGGGCCUCUCAGCCGACCACGUUUGGCUGGACAAGCCAAUGUUUGACCAGGCAGAGAGCUCGUACCGCCAGAGGCUGGCAGAUGCGGCCGCCCAGCCAGCCUCCCCGGCCCCCCGGGGCCCCUGCACGCACGGAAGCCAGGUGGCCUGCCACCACGUGACCUGGGGCAUCUGGGUCAACAAGUCUUCCUUCGACCAGGCCGAACGGGCGUUUGUGGAGUGGUCUCAAGCCUUGCUGUUGGCCGCCGACGGGAGCGGCGGGCAGGGGGCUUCUGACACGGGCCAGCAGGCAGCCGCCCCCGACCUGGCGCCCACCCGCCAGCGCAGCUCCCUGGCCGACAGCCAGUCCCCCCGGGGCAGCCUGCAGGCGCUGGUGCAGGAGGUGUGGCUGGAGAAGCCCCAGUACGACGCAGCGGAGAGGGGCUUCUACGAGGCCAUGUUUGACGGCCACCCCCCCGGGAAGGUGCGCCUGCAGGAGCGAGCGGGCCAGGCUGAGGGGGCCCGGCGGGGCCGCAGAGACCGGCGAGGCCGAAACGCCGUGGGAAGCAAGCGGGCCGGGCCUCGGCGGGUUGAUGGGGAGGCCCCCUCUGCCCUGCCCUCCUGGUACUUCCUGCACAAGGACGCCGAGGCCCCCUGGCUCAGCAAGCCCGCCUAUGACAGCGCCGAGUGCCGGCACCACGCUGCUGAGGCCCUCCGCAUGGCCUGGCGCCUCGAAGCUGCUUCCCUGGCUCACCGACCUGGUGCCCGGCCUGGCCCGUCCAUGUCCAGCCUGAGACCCAACAGGAAAAUGGCUACAAACUUCCUAGUUCACGAGAAGAUCUGGUUUGACAAGUUCAAAUAUGACGAUGCAGAAAGAAAAUUCUACGAGCAGAUGAACGGGCCUGUGGCUGGCUCCUCGCGCCAGGAGAACGGCGCCAGCGUGAUCCUUCGAGACAUUGCAAGAGCCAGAGAAAACAUCCAGAAAUCCCUGGCCAGCAGCUCGGGCCCUGGGGCCUCCAGUGGACCCAGCGGAGAUCACAGUGAGCUCGCCGUCCGGAUCGCCAGCCUGGAAGUGGAGAAUCAGAGCCUGCGAGGCGUGGUGCAGGAUCUGCAGCAGGCUGUCUCCAGGCUGGAGGCCCGGCUGAGCGUGCUGGAGAAGAGCUCUCCUGCCCAUCGGGCCAUAGCCCCGCAGACCCAGGCCUCAGCCUCCCUCCCCAAUGGCAGCACGUGUCCCCCAUGCGCCAAGCGGAGCCCCCUGCCAGGAAGGCGGCCCCUGCCGCAGAGGACGACGAGGAUGAUGCCAUCGACCUGUUCGGCAGCGAUGAGGAGGAGGACAAGGAGGCAGCGCGGCUGCGCGAGGAGCGGUUACGGCAGUAUGCCGAGAAGAAGGCCAAGAAGCCUGUGCUGGUGGCCAAGUCCUCCAUCCUGCUGGACGUCAAGCCUUGGGACGAUGAGACAGACAUGGCCCAGCUGGAGGCCUGCGUGCGCUCCAUCCAGUUAGACGGGCUGACCUGGGGGGUCUCCAAGCUGGUGCCCGUGGGCUACGGCAUCCGUAAGCUACAGAUCCAGUGUGUGGUGGAGGACGACAAAGUGGGGACCGACCUGCUGGAGGAGGAGAUCACCAAGUUCGAGGAGCACGUGCAGAGCGUCGACAUCGCUGCUUUCAACAAGAUCUGAGCCCGAGCCCCGGGCCUGGGUGUGGGAGGCCCUGCAGCCAUUAAAGACUGAGAUCGCA